GCUAUGAGAUGGUCUCAUCAAUGUGCAACAAUUGAACUGGAUUUCCAACUUCCUGAGAGAUUCAACCUCACGCUAGGAUUUUAUGGCUUUCUCCCCAUCAAGUUGUAGUAAUUCCUGUCAGUAGUAAAUAUGAUGAUUAUGCCGAACCGGUAAAUUUAAUUUGAUUCAAAAGAAGUUCCAUGCAGCUGGUUAUCGUGUUGAUACAGACUUGGAUCACGGAUCAACACUAAAUAAGAAAGUUCGCAAUGCACAACUUUCACAGUACAACUUCAUUCUUGUUGUUGGUGAAAAGAGACGGUCUCAGACACGGUCAACGUCAGAACACGUGACAACAAAGUACUCGGUGAAAAAUCGGUCAUGGCCGUGAUCGAACGCUUGCGAGAUUUAGUCAGCUCACGAAGUCUGACAAGCGAA